UAUGUACUCCCUCCGUUCCAAAAUUCUUGUCUUACGUUUAUCAUCAAAUGAAUGUAUUUAAAUACUAAAACAUGAUUAGAUACAUUCAUAUCUAGACAAAUCUAANNNNAGAAUUUUGAAACGGAGGGAGUAUAAG
rfam:Hordeum vulgare subsp. vulgare, WGS project CAJW01000000 data, contig: morex_contig_94680